UACAGAGGGGGCAAGCGUUGUUCGGAAUUACUGGGCGUAAAGGGCGCGUAGGCAGCCUGUUAAGUCGAACGUGAAAUCCCCGGGCUCAACCCGGGAACUGCGUCCGAGACGGGCAGGCUUGAAUCCGGGAGAGGGAUGCGGAAUUCCCGGUGUAGCGGUGAAAUGCGUAGAUAUCUGGAGGAACACCGGUGGCGAAGGCGGCAUCCUGGACCGGCAUUGACGCUGAGGCGCGAAAGCGAGGGGAGCAAACGGG
rnacentral:misc_RNA from 1 species